AAUCAUGCAAUCAACCAUUUACUGAGAACCUGCUUUGUUGCUCAACUCUGUGCUGGCGACUCUCAGGAAGACAGGGAAGGGCUACCUGGUUUCUGCCUGAGCAGCAAGUGAUGAAGGAGAGUGAGCGUAUGAGAGAGUAAGAGAGUGAGCCCAAUCGUGGACUGACCACACAAUUGACCCUGGUUUACUGUGAGAAAGGACACAGACUGUGAACACCAGGAGCUUGACUACAUUUCCCAGCGUCCUUUGGAGUGAGACUACAUCUCCCAGCAUCCUGGCAGUUAGACAAUUUUCUAGUCUCCUUUGCAGGGAUCUUGGAAGCCCCAUGUUGAAGGUGGCAGAGCAACAAAAAUUGAGGAAACCCUGAAUCCCUGAAUUACUAUUUGGAGAUGACCACCCACUAAUUCGGAACACUCAUUAUUGGGCUUUAGGAGAAUGAGAAGUUCUAUCAUGUUUGAGACUCCGUACAUCUUUGGAUUUGUUUUAACAGCUAGUUUUACCCUGGCUAACAUGGCAAUUGACAGCCUCUGAGAGGAGAUUU
ensembl:lncRNA LINC02923 long intergenic non-protein coding RNA 2923